GGUUGUGGCUCAGUGGUAGAGUGCUUGCCUAGCAUGCAUGCAUAAGGCACUGGGUUCAAUCUCCGGCACCA
rnacentral:tRNA from 1 species